rnacentral:lncRNA from 10 species
GGAAGGUAAAUAUAAUUAUCACGUAAUUUUACUUAGAUUGUUGAAGGUAAAAAGUAGCCAAAAUUUUUUGAUACACAUAACAAAAUAUUUUAGUAUAUAUUAUAAUUACAAAAGCACACUUGUAAUAAAUUUUUCACUGAAUAAAUACAAUUACUAUUACAAGUUUAGAAUUUAACUUUCUGGUUGCUUAAGCCCAGGAGUUCAAAGAUUACAGUGAGCUACAAUUGUACCACUGUACUCCAGCUAGGUGACAGUGAGGUCCUGUCUCUAUUAAAAAAUACUACUAAUAAUUUAACAUCCUGGAAAAGUUCCUUUACAGUUAAUACAACUACAAACUUGAUGUAAUUAAUUUGUGAAAAAAUAUGAGCAAAAUUAAUCACAUUCUUUGUGCAGAUGAAAUAGUAUAAUGUGUUAAAAAUUAAAUUAAAAAUCGUUCGUGAAUGCACAACUUUCUUUUUGUGCUUCCAGUCUGAGGUGUUUAACUCUUACAGAAAACAUAUUUCAGCAUUUUAAAAAACAAAAACCAUUUUAAAGUAGCUUUUCAUCACUUAUCAUGUUAUCCAGAUUUAAUAAAACAUAAAGAAUGGAUUUCCUUGAGCUGAAUAUGCUAUGUAUGUCAAAAAUCCCAUUAAACUCUAUUCAUGCCCCUAGAACUUACUUGCGGUGUACUGGAAAUACAGGGAUAGGAAACGGUCAGACUAUCUGGAUGUGGGACAGUCUACAAGACAACUGACCAGAAUUCAUCCUUCCUUCCUCCUUCAUUCCUUCCUUCCCUCCCUCCCUCCCUCCUCCUUCCCUUCCCAUCCCCUCCCCUCCCUUCCCCUUCCCCUCCCCCACUUCCCCUUCCCCUCCCCCUCCCCCUUCCUUUCCGUUCCCUUCCCUUCACCUUCUCCUUCCCCUCCCCCUUCCUUUCCGUUCCCUUCCCUUCACCUUCCCCUCCCCGUCCCUUUCCCUUCCCUUCACCUUCCCCUUCCCCUCCCCUUUCCUUUCAGUUCCCUUCCCUUCACCUUCCCUUUCCCUUCCCCUCCCCUUCUCUUUCUCUCCCCCCUCCCCCUCCCUUCCCCUUCCCUCCCCUCCCCCUCCCCUCCCCCUUCCCCUUCCCUUCCCCUUCCCUCCCCUCCCCCUUCCUCCUCUCCCCUCCCCUCCCUUCCUUCCUUUCUUUUGAUUGAUUGUAUUUUUAGUAGAGAUGGGGUUUCACUAUCUAUCUAUCUAUCUAUUGACUGAUUAUAUUUUUAGUAGAGAUGAAGUUUCACCAUGUUGGCCAGGCUGGCCUCAAACUCCUGGCCUCAAAUGAGAUUCUUAAAAAAAAAAAAAAAAGCUAUAAAUACUUUUUACUUUUUUUGGGAAAAGAAGAGAAAUUUGAAUGACCUAGAUAUUGGAUAAUAUUAUAAAAUUAUGAUUAAUUUUCUUAGAUAUGAUAAUGAUGCCAGGGUAAUACAGGAUUCCAUGUUCUUUUUUUUUUGGGACGGAGUCUCACUCUGUCGCCCAGGCUGGAGUGCAAUGGCGUGAUCUUGGCUCAAUGCAACCUCUGCCUCUCAGGUCAAGCGAUUCUCCUGCCUCAGCCUCCCGAGUAGCUGGGAUUACAGGCAUGCACCACCAAGUCCAGUUAAUUUUUGUAUUUUUAGUAGAGUCAGGGUUUUGUCAUGUUGGCCAGGCUAGUCUUGAACUCCUGACCUCAGGUGAUCUGCCUGCCUCAGCCUCCCAAAGUGCUGAGAUUACAGGCAUGAGCCACCGUGCCCGG